UUACGUUGUCUGCUGGGUCUUGUCAGCCCUUGUCAGCCCUUAGAGGCCUGGCUCCUGUGCGUGG
rnacentral:miRNA from 1 species